rnacentral:rRNA from 1 species
GACGAACGCUGGCGGCGUGCCUAAUACAUGCAAGUCGAGCGGACGAAUCGAAAGCUUGCUUUUGAUUCGUUAGCGGCGGACGGGUGAGUAACACGUGGGCAACCUGCCCUGUAGACGGGGAUAACACCGAGAAAUCGGUGCUAAUACCGGAUAACACGAAAUGUCGCAUGACGUUUCGUUGAAAGACGGCGCAAGCUGUCGCUACAGGAUGGGCCCGCGGCGCAUUAGCUAGUUGGUGAGGUAACGGCUCACCAAGGCGACGAUGCGUAGCCGACCUGAGGGGGUGAUCGGCCACACUGGGACUGAGACACGGCCCAGACUCCUACGGGAGGCAGCAGUAGGGAAUCUUCCGCAAUGGACGAAAGUCUGACGGAGCAACGCCGCGUGAGCGAAGAAGGCCUUCGGGUCGUAAAGCUCUGUUGUUAGGGAAGAACAAGUAACGCAGUAACUUGCGUUACCGUGACGGUACCUAACGAGAAAGCCACGGCUAACUACGUG